rnacentral:rRNA from 1 species
UACGGAGGGUGCAAGCGUUAAUCGGAAUUACUGGGCGUAAAGCGCACGCAGGCGGUUUGUUAAGUCAGAUGUGAAAUCCCCGAGCUUAACUUGGGAACUGCAUUUGAAACUGGCAAGCUAGAGUCUUGUAGAGGGGGGUAGAAUUCCAGGUGUAGCGGUGAAAUGCGUAGAGAUCUGGAGGAAUACCGGUGGCGAAGGCGGCCCCCUGGACAAAGACUGACGCUCAGGUGCGAAAGCGUGGGGAGCGAACAGG